GUAUUUGUUUCUCCUCUGGAAUCCUGAGCUUUUAAUGGGCAUGCAGCCAGCUUCAGGCGCUUUGCUACCAGGGUGUGUUUGUAUAGGAACUCAUACCACAGCCAGCCUCAGCCUGGGGACCUGGAUUGCCAGGGCUGCUCCACCUUGCUGUCUUUGUUUGCUGUAACACCACAUGCAAUCCUAUGCUUAAAAAACAAAGGGAAGGUGGUUCACAAAAAAGUGACAUUUGGAAACCCAGCCCUUGCAGGGCCUUUGUUUUGAGUGACACGACCAGUUGAAUCAGCAUAAUUAAGGGGAGCAGGAAGUGGGGACGGGACUGAGUGAAAGUGGGAAGGGGAGCUGGCGUCAGACUGGAGCAUGGAGACAGUGACUGCCAGCCUGGUGUGGCCUCGCCCCUCACCUGGUGACUGCUCCUGUCCUCUGUUUACCUGCAGUGCUUUGUUCAUGGAGUGGACAAAGACCUGGGUCACAAAUGAGCCUUCAGUAUUUGACAGUCAACAUCUGGAAACGUAGAUAAGUGGCAACAACAGCCAUAAAUAUGAGAAGCCGGAGGGAACCAGAGCGACAGGACAGCAUACAGCAAGGCUGCUGGGGCAAAGACAUGGCCAUCCCGCUCCGUGUC
rnacentral:lncRNA from 1 species